CUCGGGCAUAGCACCUUUCAAAAGGUGACAGACGCUUUGCGUAUGUUAGCAUACGGUAUCCCUGCUGAUCUAGUUGAUGAUCACUUGGUCAUGGGUGAGAGCCAAGCCAUCAUGUGUGUCAAGCUCUUCACAGUCGAAAUUGUGCAAGUGUUUGGCCAGGAGUAUUUGAGAUCUCCCAAUGCUGAAGACGCUCCAAGGAUAUUCGAGAUGAACAAAGCUUGCGUUUUCCCAGGUAUGCUUGGCUCAAAUGAUUGCAAUCAUUGGAGUUGGAAGAAUUAUCCUACCACGGCCAAAAAAAGGGUUCCACUAUAA
rnacentral:rRNA from 1 species